rnacentral:rRNA from 1 species
CCUACGGGUGGCAGCAGUGAGGAAUAUUGGUCAAUGGACGAGAGUCUGAACCAGCCACGUAGCGUGAAGGAUGACUGCCCUAUGGGUUGUAAACUUCUUUUAUAAAGGAAUAAAACGAGGCACGUGUGCCUUUUUGCAUGUACUUUAUGAAUAAGGAUAGGAUAACUCCGUGCCCGCCGCCGCGGUAAUACGGUGGAUGCGAGCGUUAUCCGGAUUUAUGGGGUUUAAAGGGACCGUAGAUGGGUUGUUAAGUCAGUUGUGAAAGUUUGCGGCUCAACCGGAAAAUUGCAAUUGAUACUGGCAGUCUUGAGUACAGGAGAGGUAGGCGGAAUUCGUGGUGGAGCAGUGAAAUGCUUAGAUAUCACGAAGAACCCCGAUUGCGAAGGCAGCUUACUAAACUGUGACUGACAUUGAUGCUCGAAAGUGUGGGUAUCAAACAGGAUUAGAUACCCUAGUAGUC